GCGAUCGAUGAUGCUGGGUGCUUGCACUGGUGGAUUAGUGGCAGAACGGGUGAGUAACACGUGAGUAACCUGCCCCUGACUUCGGGAUAAGCCCGGGAAACUGGGUCUAAUACCGGAUAUGACUUCCUGCUGCAUGGCAGGGGGUGGAAAGAUUUAUCGGUUGGGGAUGGACUCGCGGCCUAUCAUCUUGUUGGUGAGGUAAUGGCUCACCAAGGCGACGACGGGUAGCCGGCCUGAGAGGGUGACCGGCCACACUGGGACUGAGACACGGCCCAGACUCCUACGGGAGGCAGCAGUGGGGAAUAUUGCACAAUGGGCGAAAGCCUGAUGCAGCGACGCCGCGUGAGGGAUGACGGCCUUCGGGUUGUAAACCUCUUUCAGUAGGGAAGAAGCCCCUUUUUGGGGUGACGGUACUUGCAGAAGAAGCGCCGGCUAACUACGUGCCAGCAGCCGCGGUAAUACGUAGGGCGCAAGCGUUAUCCGGAAUUAUUGGGCGUAAAGAGCUCGUAGGCGGUUUGUCGCGUCUGCCGUGAAAGUCCGAGGCUCAACCUCGGAUCUGCGGUGGGUACGGGCAGACUAGAGUGAUGUAGGGGAGACUGGAAUUCCUGGUGUAGCGGUGAAAUGCGCAGAUAUCAGGAGGAACACCGAUGGCGAAGGCAGGUCUCUGGGCAUUUACUGACGCUGAGGAGCGAAAGCAUGUGGAGCGAACAGGAUUAGAUACCCUGGUAAUCCAUGCCGUAGACGUUGGGCACUAGGUGUGAGGGACAUUCCAGGUUUUCCGCGCCGUAGCUAAAGCAUUACGUGCCCCGCCUGGGGGAGUACGGCCGCAAGGCUAAAACUCAAAGGAAUUGACGGGGGCCUGCACA
rnacentral:rRNA from 1 species